UGAACUCUGCUCUAAUAGCCAAAAAAAAAAAAAAAUCAUAAAUAAUGAAAUAAAUAAAGAAAUAAAGAAAUAAAAAUAAUUAUAAAAAAAAUGAAAAUGGCCUUUAUGGAGUUGAGAUUCAUGGGAGAUUUAAGUGAAGAUAGAAUUGAACAAUAAGCAAAUGAAUAGAUUAAAAAUAAAAUGACCAAGAAAAUUUGUGAACAAAAGGAAACACCAAGAUAAGGAAAGAUUUGGAAAUAGGGAUCCACUAUAAAUUUGGAAUACAUGAGAACAAAAUUAGAAGGCAACAGA